UGCCGGCUUGGGAAACUGCUGCACUCAGAGGCCAAAGUUUUUGGGUGUCGCAGUGUUGUGCAAAGGCACACAGCAGCCACAGCUUUCCAUUUCCUUCUUUCUCCGAGAGAGACAUAUUGGGAUUUUUUUUUUUUUUUUUUUUUUUUUAGGCAUUUGUAAUUGCUUUCAGGAUUUAGAAUUAUUUGUGUGGAGUUUUUGUUUUUGGAAUCAGUACCGUUUUUGUAGCGCGGGCGGGUCCCUUGCAGCCACUUGUCAUACAGAUUAACGCUUCCUUUUUUGAGGGAUUAAAACAGAGGCCAUUCCUUGCCAUCCCAGCUCAGGUGAACUAGGCUCUGUCUCAAAGGUUCUCCUCAGGCCAGCUGUGAAGACCCUAACCUGGA